AACGAACGCUGGCGGCAUGCCUAACACAUGCAAGUCGAACGAGACCUUCGGGUCUAGUGGCGCACGGGUGCGUAACGCGUGGGAACCUGCCCUUAGGUUCGGAAUAACUCCCCGAAAGGGGUGCUAGUACCGGAUAAUGUCUUCGGACCAAAGAUUUAUCGCCUUUGGAUGGGCCCGCGUUGGAUUAGCUAGUUGGUAGGGUAAAAGCCUACCAAGGCGACGAUCCAUAGCUGGUCUGAGAGGAUGAUCAGCCACACUGGGACUGAGACACGGCCCAGACUCCUACGGGAGGCAGCAGUGGGGAAUAUUGGACAAUGGGCGAAAGCCUGAGCCAGCAAUGCCGCGUGAGUGAUGAAGGCCUUAGGGUUGUAAAGCUCUUUUACCCGGGAUGAUAAUGACAGUACCGGGAGAAUAAGCUCCGGCUAACUCCGUG
rnacentral:rRNA from 1 species